rnacentral:lncRNA from 1 species
ACCGUCCAAUCAGAUCAAAGGAGUAAUCGUCGUAGAUCGUGCGUUAUCGAUAAUGUUCGGUGCCUGGAGAAAAUUGACAAUUGACAAGAGAAUUGUUUAUUAUUUUUGACUUUUUAGUUCGUUUAAUUUAAUAAUUACUAAAACCAGUAGUUCGAAAGAUAUAUUUAAAAAUAAAAGAUAAAAAUCCAAAAAAUUAAUUAUCUAUUAACGUGGAUUUGGACGACAAUAGGUUUUUAGUUUGUGAUGUUUCAUGUGAUGAUCAUUUUCAUGUUCAUCGUCUUUGAAUUGACAUGAGGAUAUCUAUGGAAAAGUAACUAAUCUGAAAGUAAGCCAACAUAUCGUUUGUCCUUUGUGUGCUAAAGAAAAGAUUUUCUUUUCGCAUCAUGAGGAAGUAUUACAUCAAUUAAAAAAUGUUAGGAAGUUGAUUACUUGUCAUGGAAAAGUAUACCAAUGGAAAUUAUUUGUUAAAGAAGUAUAAUUCUAAGGGUUUUAAGAAUAAAUUGGUUGAACCCAAAAUCUGGAGGAAGUACCUAUAUCCAUACACAGAAUAUGCCCAUUAAAAAUACUAGUCCAAAUUUGCUUUAAUGGUAGACAAUUAUUCAAUACAAAUUAACUUUUUAAGUGACUGAAAUAUUAAAUAGUUUAGAAUAUGGUAUAACAAUGUAAAAAAAUAUUAUUUUCAGGAACGAUUAGGGCCCGAUAUAUUUGAAACUCAUGUUGGACAUAGUAUUGAGUUGGGUAGAAUAUUAUUCUACGUUAAGUGAGGGUAUCAGAUACCUAUUAUUGUACUGUAUUUUAAUAUAUACAUUAGAAUUGUUGGUUUUUU